AGCAGCCGCGGUAAUUCCAGCUCCAAUAGCGUAUAUUAAAGUUGUUGCAGUUAAAAAGCUCGUAGUUGAAUUUCGGGAUUGGCGCAUCGGUCGUGCCUCACGGGGUAUGAACUGGUGCAGUCAAUUUCUCACCUUCUGGAGAACCGCGAUGUCCUUAAUUGGAUGCCGCGGGGAACCAGGACCUUUACUUUGAAAAAAUUAGAGUGUUUAAAGCAGGCAUUUUUGCUUGAAUACAUUAGCAUGGAAUAAUAAAAUAGGACGGCAUGGUUCUAUUUUGUUGGUUUCUAGGACCACCGUAAUGAUUAAUAGGGAUAGUUGGGGGCAUUAGUAUUCAAUUGUCAGAGGUGAAAUUCUUGGAUUUAUUGAAGACUAACUACUGCGAAAGCAUUUGCCAAGGAUGUUUUCAUUAAUCAAGAACGAAAGUUAGGGGAUCGAAGACGAUCAGAUACCGUCGUAGUCUUAACCAUAAACUA
rnacentral:rRNA from 1 species